UACGUAGGGGGCAAGCGUUGUCCGGAUUUAUUGGGCGUAAAGAGCGUGUAGGCGGCCAGGUAGGUCUGCUGUGAAAACUCGAGGCUUAACCUCGAGCUGUCGGCGGAAACCAUCUGGCUAGAGUCCGGAAGAGGAGAAUGGAAUUCCCGGUGUAGCGGUGAAAUGCGCAGAUAUCGGGAAGAACACCCGUGGCGAAGGCGGUUCUCUGGGA
rnacentral:rRNA from 1 species